rnacentral:lncRNA from 1 species
AAAGCAUAGUUCAUUUAUGCACCAUAGGAGCCAAACACUUGGAAAACUAAAUAGUGUUACACUGCCUGAGAGGACAUGUCUUACUUCUUUUAUAGGCAAAACCCAGAGCUGUCUCCCAAGUCUGCAAGCCUAGGUAUAGCCAGGAAGUUAUAGAAAUAAGGUUAAAGCAGAAAGCAAGGUUUCUUGAGGCAGUCUUCUCCACAGGAUUAGACCCCUAGUAGCAGAAGUGAGUUGGUGAACACAGGCAGUCAGGCCAUCAGCUUCCUCAGGGUGUCACUACUGCGUCAAGGACAGUCUGUCCCACUUCCCUUGAAAAGACAUUUAACAUUCAAAUCUUGACAGAGUUCAUUUGAUGAUAAAUUCUAAGCUCAAAUUUUAUUUCUACAAAAAAAAGGCAAUCAAAACAAUAUAAAACACACUGAAAGGAUAUUAUUGAGUGAGCUUCAAGUGGAGCUGGACUGGAAAAGCUUGGAGUCCAGAGGGAGGGGAAAAGCCACCCUGUUCUGGGCUGUCCCAGCAGCUGCUCUGAGAGAGGCAGAGCCAUCGUGGCUGACCCCGCCGAGGGUAAGCCGUGAGGAGGGUGGCAGUGGUGGCCUGCUGUGCUCAGGAGUGGGAGCUCUCCUUGGCACAUCCUAUCAGAGCUUGGUGGUAGAGAAGCUUGAAAUUUCAAAAGAAUAUUCUGGCUUUUUUUUUUUUUGUCUGUGAUGACCAGACAUCACUAAGCUGGAAUGGGGUACUUGAGCUAGUCAUUACCCACAGGCAGUGUUGGCACAGGAAAC